CCCAUAUAAGUACCCUGAAUAUGCAACCUGUUUCCAUUAUUUAAUCCUAAUUAAAGUCUCCUUUGACACCUUUCCUUCCACCAUUUUCCAUCUCUCUCUAUAUAGACACAAAGUUGUUUACCCAAAAGAAAUGGAGACAGAUGGACAUGAGCAGCAAGCUAGACAAGCCGCCGCCGCCACCACUUGACAGAUAAGGGAAAAGGGAUCGGCUGCUACUGGAUGCCAGCCAUACAGUAAGUUGAAUGGUUUGGUGUUAUAGAACGGCAUCAGUUAUCAUGGUUUGUAUAACAUUAUUUGUUCUUGUUUUGCCACCAUUUCUGCCACCCUUAUCGCCUCCUCCCUUGAUUUUUCUAUUUAUACCAGUCAUGAUUAUGUCUGCUCUAAUCAUGUUGGCCUUUUGUCCAGCACAUGUCACAAAUAUUACUACCAGCUAAUGCUAUUUCUCAUUAGAUAUAUACUCUGACAAACUUGAGAGUGGUGAAUACCCUCACAGACUGUAAUAUAUUAGCUUUGCGGUGGAGAUAACAUGGCAUUGGAUCUGGAAACCCUUAAGGUAAUAUUAUUUGCUUCUUUUUAAAAAAAAAAAAGAAAAAAAGUUAUGUUGAAUAACUAAGACAUCUAGUGUUUGAAGCAUAUUUUUCUUUGAUUCGUUUGUUUAUACAACUACAGGAAUGAGAGAAAUUUUUCUUCCUUUUUAUUUCUUGUGGCAAAAGUCCUAGUAAUCCACACUUGAUUUUCUUUUUAUCUGAUCAGAAAAUACUAAAACAUUGAUAAAUGGUGACUUAGUCUAACUGCAAGAUGAGAUCACUUUUGAAAAACAGGAUUCAAAUCUCAUUGAUCUAAAAGAAGGCCUAACAAGACAUUCACAUACGAGGGAGAAAUGGCAAUAUUUUGAAACUAUUCAUUUGCUGCUCAAGUUAGCAUUUAUAGGGAUUUCUCCUUGUUGAUGGUGAUUAAAUAAUUGAAUUGUUUCUUGGUCAAAAGAAGAUGAGAUAGAUGUUAUGGUACCCACUAUGUCAUAUUUGAAAGUUGAAUUAGUCGUGGUCAUAGCAAGAUGGUAUGAGUCGCUAGCAAUGGCCUAGGUUGCACCGAAGAAGGGUAAUAUUUUUGUGGCAUAAGCAUUUUGAAACAAAAUGUUUUGAGACUUUUAAAUACGUUUUGAGAAUUUAAGAAAAAAUUGUAUUGUCAUUAUUUUUUAAGUUAAUUUUAUGAUGUAUCUAUAAAUCUGACCUUUUACCUUUGAUAAUAAGUAAGCAAUAAUAAUAGGUAAACUUUUAACUUAUUAAAGAGAUUGUUUUAGGUUAAAGUGAUCUCACUUUAACUUGUUAAUUUAUUUUGAUUUUUGGUAUAUUUAGUUAAUGUAGGUCUCAUUUGAUAUUUCGUUUAAUUAUUUAUUAAAAUCAAAUGGCAUAAAUUAAGGAAUAAUACCGACUUUAUAAAACUAGUGUCAUUAUGAGCUAAUGUUAAUAAUUUGUAUUAAAUUAUCUAGGUUUGGAUUUAUUUUUAUUUAUUUAUAGUUAAUUAGCACAGGAUAAAAUAAAUUUUAGAUUGUAAAUGAGACACAUAGUUCAUAUUGCAAUUCUAGAAAAUCAAAAAAAUAUCAAAAUUAUGAAAUAUAAUUAUAGAAUUUAGAAAAAUUUUAAACAAAAAAAUAAUUAAAAAAUAAUUUUAUAAAUAAAUAAAUAAUAAAAAAAUAGUCCCAAUGGUUUGAAUAUGAUAUUGGAAAGUCUGCUAAUAGUUUAACUAUUCAGUCUUUAGCAUUUAGCAUAGAUAAUAUAAAUAUCAAUUAUAAAAAUAAAAUAUUAAAAUUUAAUGAAAUUGAGAUGACUUUCUAAUUUACAUUAAAAUAACUAAAAUGAUUAGUUUGAUUAUUGAAAAAAAUAAUGUAGUUUAUGUUUAUUUCAUCAAUAGUGAUCGCUUAUUAACUUAUUUUUGAUUAUUUUAUUUAAAAAAUUAAUAUAUCUAAUAAUUAUUGCUCUAAAGCAUUAAGUUGAGAUUAGUGAUUUAAAAAAAAAUAUAUCAAGAUUAAAUUAUUAUAUAUUUAAAAGCCAUUUAAUGACUUAGUAGACAUAGUGUGAGUCACAUCGUAAGCACCAAUGACAUUCAUGUUAAGAAAAAAAUUAAAAUUUAAGAUUAAUUUUUAGUUAUUGAUUUAUCAAAUAAUUAUAUAUAAGAACUUUUGAAUUAUAAAUUUGGAGUAAUAUAAUUGAUAACAGAGUAUCACACAAAAAAUGGACUAGAAACGCAGGAUUGAUUGAGUCCAAGAGGGUGUUUGGUUCAGAAAUUUGACGUAACUAAUAACUAAUUUUUACUAAACAGUUAUAUUAAAAUAUUUGGUAAAAACUUAAAAACUAGCAACUCAUAGUUGAUUUAGUCCCAAUCAGCUGCUGAUUAUAUCACCUAUAUUUUAAGUCUUUUUCUUAUCAGGUGAUACUGGAUUUGAUUUUUUUUAUUUAUGUGGAUGUUAUUAUUCUUAUUAAAACUUCUUAAUAAUAACUUACUUUAAAUUGAUCUCAUAUAAUUAAAUUUUUAUAUUUUAUAAUAAAAUAAUUAUUUAAAAUUUAUUUUUAAUAGUUAAAUAAUUAUAAUAUUUAUAACUAUGGUAUUUGAAAUUAGAGAUUUUUAUCAGUAGAGUUUAAAUUUAAAUUUUUAUUUGUAAUUUUUAAAAUAACUUUUUAUAUAUAUUUUUGAUAAUAAGUACAAUUGAGUUAAAGAUUAAUUAUAAUAUUCUUAAAAUUAUUAUAAGGUAUUUUUAUUAAUAUUUAUUAUGGAACAUAAUAUAAUAAAAUAAAAUAUCUUUAAUGAUAAAUUAUAUCAUUAAUGGUUAUUUAACAUAUAAAUAACUGCUACUAAAAUUUUACCAAACAGUUUAGUUCAUCAGCCCUCAGCUACUAGCUGCAUUGAUCAGCCGAGUCAAACAGGCUUCAAGUCCAAGAAAGACUAAAAGUCUAAAAAACCAAGUCAUGGUCGGACUCUACUAGAGUAGUCCGGUCCGACCUAGAACACUACUGUACGAUCAGGAAGAUUAAUUCUAUUAGGUUUAGGGGACUUCAUACUUACAUAAUCUUACUCCUACUAGGACUAGAAGACUUUCAGAUCCUAUAUAAAGGACUGGAACGUAGCUUAAUAGGUACAUACAACCUUCUAUAACUAAGACUCCAUUCUAAGAUCUUAUUACCUUAACUGACUUAACCAUCAGAGUGAAUGGUCGGAGAAUCCCAGUCAGUGCUUUCUAACCUCUUUUGUAGAUACUCUGAAGCUCAAAUUAGACAAUGCAUGAAUCACAAUAAGCAAUAAAGAGUCAAUAUGAGUAUCGUUCCUACGAGGAGAUUGAUACCAAGUACCAGCGCUAAUUGUAUCUCCACCAUCUAACAAAAUCGAAUAAUUGUAAUUGAAUAAAUAACAAAUAAGAAAAGAGAACUUAAAACUAAUAAUAAUUUCUCUAGAAAAAUAACAAUUAAAACUAGAGCCCGAAUUUAUUUUAUUAGCUAUUGCUCGGAUUACAAGAUCUUUUCACAAUCUAGAUCAUUUAGACUCUCUUUUGAGCUCAUCUAAGAAUACCAAAGUCAAUUACAAAUUAUUUCAUGGUCACAUCAUUUAACUAGAGUUCAUUAAAUUCCUUAGCAAUAUAUUACUACUCGAAGGAUUUGUCUACUUUCAUGAUCGAGGUUCCUAAGUCUUACAAACCUAUGAGCUAAUAAAUCAUGAUACUUUCGUUGUCUCUAAUUUACCCAAAUACAUGUAUUUAAUUAGGCCCAAAUCAAAUACAAGAACAAUUAAAAGCAACUCAUAACAUUGACUAAAAAUUAAUUCAUUGAAAGAAAAUAAAGAUCCAAACAAGUAAUAGACUAACUAUACAAAUCCAAACCCUAAGAAGAGUUUAAACUAUGCAUGAUUGCGGCAAUACACAUAAAUAUCAUUAAAGAAAUCAAAGAAGAACAAGAAAUAGUUAAUUCAAACUCUUGAAUCUUUGCACAAUUAUUCUUGAUCUCUUUGAAUAAGUCUUCAAAAGCUUGUAUAUAUGAUAGUUGUUCUUUAAAAUAGUUAUUUGCCCCUCUCCACAACCCCCCCACCCCCCCCCCCCCCCCCCUUUUAUAGCCAAUACUCAAAGAAAAUCCUAUUUGCCCUAAAUUUUUGAGUUUCACGUAAAAGUAAACUCUCUUUUAUUCGACAUGACUUGACAGACGGCCAUGUCAAAUUCUUCACCUUACGGCACGAUUUAUCACACGUUCAUGUGUGAUUCCAUGCUGUGCUUUCACAAUUUCUUUGAUUCAGACAGAAACAGUCACAGUUUCAAACACGACAGUGUGAUACUCGUGUGAUACUCUACUCAGAAUCCAAAGGUAGACACGACUUCUAGCAUGAUUGUGUGUCAAGUCAUGCUUUUUGAUUCUUCUUCCACCGUGCAACAUGGGCAUAAGCAUAUGGCCAUGUUUAGCCAUAACAUAGCUUUUCAUUAUCGUUUAGGAUUUCAUUCUCAUCUUUCCUAUAAAAAAAGAAAAGCUUAUCAAAAUCAAGUACACAUUUCUAAAUAAAUCAAAGUAAAUAAAAUACUAAAAUAAUGGUAUAACCUAAACUCCUAAUUAAACCUAAAUUCUUUCUAAUUAAUACUAAUUACUUAUUCAAAAUCUAUUAAAAUUCAACUCAAAGACAUGUGUAAAAUUACAUACAAUAAUCCUCUUUGUCCAUACUAGGACAUCAUCUUAUACAACUCACAUUCUUGAUAUAAAUACAAAGCUUUAUUAUCUUAGUAAGGUAAGCUAAGAUUUGUCCAACACCUCCUUCUUCCAUUUCUCACUAAAUAGUCACAUUAAAAUCGAACCAAGCUAUAGCUAACCCAUCAACUAAACUUAUAGAAGAAAUAAAAGCAAGAUUAGAAAAACUGCUCUUAGCUAAUAUACUAUUAACUUUCCUAUCUUAGUUAUUUUUUUCACUAAGAAGCACAAAAUUGGGAAGAUAAGUUUACACAAAUCUUUGAGCUGGUAAAUUGUCAAAAUCUUUCCAAUGCCCUAGCAAUUUCAACUUAAAAUAUUCAUGAUUAGGACUUGGGCCAAUUUAGGUUGGCCUUCUCCAUCUAGGGGUGAGCAAAAUUCUAAAAAAAAACUAAAAAUCGGACCAAACCGAUUCUUAUUCGGUUCGGUUUGAUUAUUUUUUUGUAAGUUCAGUUUAUACGGUUUAGCUUUUUUAAAACUAAAAUUAUAUCGAUUCAGUUCAAUUUUAUACUAAAAAAUAUAAAUUAAUCGAAAUAACCAUUUUUAUUUUUAUUUUUAAUAUGAAAUUUAAUUUUUAUUUUUAAUAUAAUUUAGUUUUUAAAGUAAUUUUAGGUUCAGUUCGGUUUUUUCUUUUCGAUUUUUUUAAUUCGAUUAUUGUGACUAAACAUCUUAUUUGGUUCAGUUUGAUUCAUAUUUAUAUAUAAUUCGGUUAUUUUAGUUCGGUUAUUUCGAUUUAUUUAAAAUUUGGAUUCGAUUCUAUUUAUUCGAUAGAUCUAAUUCGGUUCGAUUUUGAACUAAACCGACCGAGUGCUCACCUCCAUGUCCAUCUAUAAUAUGAACUAUUUUGUUAUAGAAACUCUAAUACCAUAUUAAUGAAUUAUUUCAAGCAAAAAUUUAAGAUUUUAACUAAAACUCUAAAAACAGUUUUAUAUCUCUAAAAACUAUUAGUACUAAUCACCCUAUAUAUGUUAAGGGUUAUUAUUUGGUGUCACAUGACACUAGUGUCAUAGAAAUCUUAUUUUUAAUCAAAGUAAAAAUUGAUAAUCUUUUCUUAAAAACUUAUAAAAUCGGUGGAAUAAAAUAUAAAUAUUGUUAAAAUUUUAUCUAUAUUACCUGUAAUUGGUAAAAGGAGUAAUUUAUUAUCUUAUUAGCAAGUUUUCAACUAACGGUUAUAAAUAAAUCUAACAAAUCUAAUAGCUUAAAAUACAUAUAAUUUCGGUAUCAUGUGAUUCCUGAAGUAAUUUAAUUUAAUCUAUAUUUUUUUCAUAUCUCUAAAUUUCUUGAGUACAAAUUAGGAACCUAAAGAGUAGGACCAAUAUCGAAGGAGAUAGAUUUAGGAGAUAUAUAUUGUUUAGGAGACAAAUACUAAAUCAAAUCUUCUACACUCCCUCUCAAGUUGGUUCAUAGGAAUUUUGCAUGUCCAACCUGUCUAAAGCUCAGUAAAAAAAUUUCCUUGAUACUGCUUUGGUAAGGAUAUCGAUGAGCUGAUCUUUAGAUUGGACAUGAGGGACUUUAAUUAUCUUGCCUUAGUAUCUGUCUAUCUCCACAUAUUUUGUCUGAUCAUAUUAAACUGGAUUAUGAGCUAUAUCACAUGCAGCUUUAUUGUCACAAUAUAGUCUCAUAGGACUAAUUUGCGGAACUUAGAGUUCAUGUAGUAAAUUCCCGAUCUAAAGCAACUCAUAAACACUUUUAGUCAUCCCUCUAUACUCGGCUUCUGCACUAAACUGAGCGACAACACUUUGCUUCUUACUGCUCUAUGUGUGUGAGUGUGUAUAUGUAAAUAUAUGUAUAUGUAUAUGUAUAUGUAUAUGUAUAUGUCUAUAUUUGUGUAUAUAUAUAUAUGUUUGUGUAUAUGUAUAUAUUUAUAUAUUUAUGUAUGUAUAUAUAUGUAUGUAUAUCGAAUCCGAACCUAACCUGAACCCGACACGGGUAGUAAAUUUAAAUUCCAAAUCCGUUUAUCAUUAUCCAAAUAUGUCUCAAAAUCGGAUACCUUGAAAGACACGUCUGACUGCCAUCCCUAAGCAUGAUUUCUUAUUGUACAUAGUAUAUAAAUUUAUUUCUCAUAAAAUAAAAUUAUUCUUAUUAUUAUUUUAAUUGUAUAACGUUAAAUAUUUUACUAUUUUAAAUUUAUUAUAUUUUUAUUAUUUUCUUCUUUAUAUCAAUUUAUAUUUCAUGUUUAAGACAUUCUGUUUCCAUUAGUGUCCAAAACCCAGUAUUUCGACAUUUAUUCAGAAAAACUAACCACGGUUUUGCUCAUCAUAAUAUAUAUAUAUAUAUAUAUAUAUGAUUAUUGAUCAUGUGAAAUUAAAAUAGUUCUUAUAUUUAACCCUUAUUAUAUUAUUAUACGAUAAUGUUUAUUUGUCUUAUCAUUUUAAAUUUAUUAUUUCUAAUCUGUAUAAAUGUAAAACCGACGAUAUAUUUGUCCUAUUUAAUUAAAAAAUGUUUUUGUCAAAUAUGUUCUCUUAUAUAUAUAUAUAUAAUAGACACACUGAUAUUUAUUAGGACGAAGUUUACGGUCUUCAGGUUCUACAAAUUACACUUUUCUUUUGGACAAAACUUACUUCCCUUUCAAUUUUGUAUAAUGAGCAUGAGCAAAAAUACAUCACCGAUCACAAAAUCAAUAGUUGUCAUUUUUUGAGUUAAAUAGUACCACAGAUGGACCUUAUAUCUGGGAAGGCGUUUUAUUUAUUUAUUGACUGCGAAACAUCAAAUUUGUUUUCUUCUUAUAUUUACUUGCUAUCAAAUUUGUUUUCUUCUUAUAUUUACUUGCCAGAGUCUAAAUUUCAAAGUGACCUGAUAGUAAUUACUCAUAAAUAUGGCCUGCCUACCCGGAAAAAAGAAAGGGAUUUGGAGCAGAGUGGCCAGCGAUGUGUUGGCUAAAUUUCAUGCUAGGUUUUGAUAAUAUUAAAAGGUCAUUAAUAACUUUCAUAGCUUUUCUGUGCGUACCUCAAUGAUGUGCACGAACAUGGGAGGGGAAAGGGAUGCCCAAUAAGUCAAUUCUAUCAUUAUUGUUCCUUAUGCAUGCAUGUAAAUUUAUUUCUAGUGUCCUUUUAGCAGCAUCAGUUCCAUAAUUCACUGCAAGGGUUUCUCUUUUUAUUUUUUUCCUCGAAUUUACGAAUUGAUUACACCCACCGAACCACAAAAUCAAAAAUAAACAAGAUUGAUCUUUGUUGGAGAUGUGAAACAUCAAGUAAAUAUAAAGAAGUCGAAUGACAUAUAAAUAGAAAAGAUUGAGAUUUAGUGCAACUCUGCUUAAAUGGUUACUGAUAUAAUACGGUUUAGCACUUACAAAAUUUAUGGAAUUUUUAUAUGAUUUUUAGAUAACAAAAUGGCAAAUCGAGUCAAGCUUUGUUAGAUCUGGGUUUAGUUUAGCAUGAGUGUUUUGGAAACAUAUCUUUUUCGGUUCAGAGAAUCUCUAGUCUGGGAUUUCUCAGAUUUUAGAUUGUAUUUCAAAUUAAUUUAUCGAGCUUUAGUUAAGUUUCCAAAUUAACUUAUUUAAACUUUUUUAUCUCAUAAUUUGUAAAGUAAAAAAUCUAUAAGUUUAACAAACUUACAACCAUAGAUAUUUAUUAAUUAAGUAAAAUAUUAGUGAAUUAAUAAUUAGUAAUUGAUUUGUUGAUUAAUAAAUAAUUUAUUAAAAUUAACUAAUUUAUCGAUAAAUUAAUAAUUAUUAACUGGAAAUGCAAUAAAAUUAUACAUAUGUUUAAUUAUCAAUAUAAAUUUAAUGUAUUUCUAGUUAAUUUUUUAUUGUCAUUUAAUCAAAUAAAAUUAUACAUUUCACAAGAGUUCAUUAUAUAUACUUUCUACUCAACACCUAUUUAAUUAUAUUUUCUCAAAUUCAUAAUAGCAAUCAAAUUAAUUUCCAAUAUAAUAAAUGCAAAGACUAAUUAUAUUUUAACUAAAUUUUUUUGUUUAAUUAUUUUUUAGUAAUUUUUCUUUUUACAUGAUACUUUAUUGUAUUCAAAUUAAUUAUUUUUUCUGAUAAUUCAAAAUUCAAGAUAGCAACCCUUUUGAAGAAUCAUAAACUUGGAGAUAAAAAUGGAAAAAGAAUAAAUUUAAACCAAAAUAAAUUAAGAUUAUUAAUACUAAAGUUAUUGCUAUAGAUAAUGAUAAUUAAUUAAAUGCCACAAAAAAAUUAUAUUAUUUCACUAAAGAAUUAUUUUUCAAGAUAUUUUAAAUUUUGAAUUGGGUUUGUAUCAGUUAUAAAUUUCGGAUAGUUUCAUAUCUUGGGGAUAGAUUAUUCCAUAUUCGAAUUAUUCUUUUUUGUUGUAUAGUAUCAAACUCUAGUUGAUUCAAUCAAUUAGGUGACUUGGAUUUCUAAUCAAUUCAAUCUCAAAUCACUUCAGAUUUAAAUCAUUUUAGGUUCAAUUUUAGUUAUUUUAGAUUUAAAUUUUUUAAAUUUCUAUUAAUAUUCAAAUUUAGAUAGAUCAAAUUUCGGGAGAGUUAAAUUGGAUUUCUGGAUCCCAAUCAAAUUUUUCCAUUUUCAAUUCUAUCAAAAUUGAGAAUGACCUAACAGCGAAACAGAUAGUAAAGCUCAUAUUCGAAGACCUAGAGUUAGGCUAACAAAAAAAAAAAAACUAGGUUACUUAGAGUUAGGCUAACAAAAAAAAAACUUGGUUACUCUGAACUUGGGCCUCAAAUAGACAAGUCAGAAUACAUUUAACGAGUGAUAAUUAGUUCAGACCUAAUUUCAUUUACGGGAGAGUGUCAGAUAAAACAUUGGACUUCAAUAAAAAUUAGUUUAAUACAAGGUAAAUGGAAAAAUUGAAUCUCCGCACAGGCCAAUUGUUUUAUGUAAGAUCAAGAUACGAUUGAACCCUACUUAUAUGAUCGCUAAAACAAGUUAGUCCGACACUUUCAAUAUAUAUAUAUAACUUUUAAGAAAAAUGUCUAAACCGCUUUGCAGAAGAAACAGAUCUUUUUGUUCGUAGCAAUAAGAAAGUUAAAAUUGAUCUUCAAGAAACUCUUAUUGUCUCGGAAGAGAUUGAAAUGAUGAAUAGUGAUGUUGCUCCCCUUACAGAUCUUGGAGAGCCUGAUGGGGUGAAGGAGGUGUUGGGUCAACGUGUCUCGUUUAAGGAGACUCUUAUAGGGAAAAAUCCAUAUCAAUUAGAGAGUGUUCACCUAUAUGAUAAUGAUUCAGACUUGAAAGAUGAUGGUGAUAUGGAUGAUGAUGGAGGGGAGGAAGAUUGUACGGUCAUCAGAAUAUCUAAGAAAGGAAAAAGGAAAUUAAGAAAACCUUAGAGACAAACUCUGAUUGUCAAACUCUUGGGACGUUCUACUGAGUAUAACUUUCUCCUUUCAAAAAUUAAGGAGUUACGGAGACCUAAGGGUUUGAUAGAUCUUAUGGCAAUGGAUAAUGACUUCUACCUCGUCAAAUUUGGGUCCAAAGAUGAUUAUGACUAAUCGGUCCAAAUUAUGUAUAGAUAUUUAAGGGUAUUUUAAAGUUUUAAUGAUAUAUUUCUAUAUAUAAAAUGGUGAAAAUAUAUGUUUUUGCCUCACUUCAGCUUAAUUGUCUAUUUUCAGGAAUAUUAGCAAAAAGAGGAAAAUAUAGAGCUAAAAGAAGCUUAAUGAGACAUGUUCAUAUCAAGGCCCAAGAUUAAGACGCAUGGACUACUAAUUACAAGGCCCAAGGGAUAUUUUAGUCAUUUUGUAUAAUUAUUAGAAUUUAUAUUAAGAGUUAUUUACGAGAUAGUAUUUGGUGGAGAUUAAGAUACUUAAAGUCUUAUCUAUUAGAUAGACUUAUAUUAGUAUACUCAUCUUUAGAGAGAUUUAUUUAGAGGAUGACUCUCCUCUAUAUAAAUCUCUGCAAAACCCAAGAAAGGAGGGAGGAAGAAGGAAGAAGGAGGGAAAUUUUCUCCUACCUGCUCUCUACACCUGCCGCCAUUAUUCUCUCCAUAAUUCUCUACAGUUUUCCAUAAACAUAUAGUUUUAGUUUUCAUUACUCGUUUUAGGAUCUAAGGAGCUUUUCAAGAAGUGGAGACUGAGGACCAAUCUUCUUCCUACUUGAAGAAAUUAUUGAUCUAGAGGGAGUUUUUACUUUUUUAUGUCUUUCUAUUUAAUACCAUGAUCAUUGGGUUAAAUAUGUUAGACUAGUUUUCAUAAGUGUUUAGUUUAGUCCCUUUACUUUUGUGUGAAUCUUGUUAUUUAUUUAUUUAAUGAAUGAUUUCUUUGCCUUCAUAUCUUUAUUAGUUUCAGUUAUUAUUGUUAGUUAACCAUCAUAUUAAUUUAGCAAUAGUAAUUGUUAUGAAAAUCUUUAGGUUUAAAAGUAUUAGAAAUAUCAUCUUUACUUUAAUCUAUGUUCGUAUAAGAAACCUAAAUUGCAUCAUUAGCUUGAGUGAUUUAGGGAAAAGGCACAUCACCAUCUCAUUCAUUAGAUCUAGGCUUAAAGUAAGACAAGGAGAUUACUAAGUAAAUGACCAGAUUAAAUACUAUUUUAAGCAUAUAGUUUUAGAUCAUAAGCAUUUGCAUUUGCAUUGCAUGUUUAUUUAUUAUUUAGUUACUUUACUUUAUGACCAUUAUCCACUCAAACAUAUGAUUUAGAGUGUUUAGAUUUACUUUUAUUGUUUUGUGUUGAUAAUUGGUCUUUAUAAUAAGAGGCCUCAUAGUUCCUUGAAAGAUCAACCUCGUGGUAAACUUACCCUUACUAUAGGAACGGUUCGUGCACUUGUGAGUACUAAAAAAAACACAUCAAUGACUAUGCUAAGUGUGAGGAUCCUUAGAUGGUGGCUAACCAUUACCACACUGUUCAUCCUUGGUUUCUGGAUUUUGAUCUAGAAAAUGAUAAGAUAGAGCGCCUUCUAGUUUAGAUUUAUAUCCCUUGUUUGCCAAUUGAAUAUUAUGAUUAUGAUUUCUUGAUGAAGGUAGGAAGUAAGAUAGGUAAACCUAUCAAGAUUAAUGAUGCAACUAAUAAUGCUUCUAGGGAUAGGUAUGGUCGUGUGUGUAUAAAGGUUGAUACUAGUAAACUUCUCCUAACUAAAUUCAAACUUUGAAGAUGCAUACGGAAAACUGAAUAUGAAGGCAUUCACAUGAUUUGUUUCGACUAUGGUCGUGAUGGUCACCGCAAGGACAUUUGUCCUAACUCUAUUCAACCGGAGCAGCUUGUCGGAGAAGAAGAUACAGUGCUUCUCACUACAGACGGUGCUGUGAAAAUUUUUGACCUAAAUAGAAAAGGAAAGAAGAGAAUAAGAUUAAUCCUGAAAUCAUGGAGAGCUUUGGGCCUUGGAUGUUGGCAUUGUGUAAACCUCGUAUUAGCAAGAAAAGGCAAGAAGAAUCUCAGCCACGAAUCAACUUGCAUGCAAAUCAUGCUAACCAUGCAAAAAUUGAGGAGUCUUCACGUAAAAUCAAGAGUGAGCAAUCUAGAUUUUUUGUCCUUGUAAAUGUGGCUAAUAAUGAGGAGGAUCAAGUUAGGCCCACAGAGAAAGAUUAUGAGAUUGAUUAAGCCUAUCUUGAUGGACACAGGAGUUUGAGCUUUAAGGUUAAGAAGGCUUCAUACAAAAGGCUUAAUUUUCAGGUCCAAGAUUUUUAUUGGCCAAGUGGAACAGAUGAGGGAAAGAAUGUUAUGGUCCAAACUAGUACUUCCGAGACCAAGAUAACUAAUUCCAAAUAAAAAAAUUUGGGUCCUUCCUCUAUAAACCAAGCUGCAGCUAAAAACUGAGCAUCUGGUGGUUAUAGGAUCUAAAGGUUCAAACAAAAUUGCAAAGAAUGUCAUCAACCAUGUUCAAUCUUGGCAUACACUCAAAAAUUCAAAUUUCCUUAUUCCUAGGCAAAAUGUUGAGAAUUAUUAAGACUCACCUCCCAAUUUACUUAUUGGUGAUGCAAAUAUGCUUUAGAUGAUGACAAUUUUGAUAGUGUUCCAUCCCUUGAUGAAAAUGAUUAUGAGGAAUCCUAGACGGGUAGAGACAGUAGUUCUCUUGUGCUUGCCUUUGUUCCUUUACUAUAUAAGUUUGUUCCUUGCUUAGUUUAUGUUUUCUUAUUGUUUUCUUUUCCUAUUUGUUUUUACUUUUAAUGGCUUUUAUUGUAUGAAACUGUCAAGGUGCGGCCUCGAGAGAGUUUCACCGCGCUAUUUAAAAUCUCUUAAAAAAUUAUCAUCCCUCUAUCUUAAGUCUGCUAGAAACUAAGAUUAGUGGUACUUAGGGUAAUGUUGUUUGCAAGAAAAUAGGUUUUAAGAAUUGGCUGCUCGUAGAAGAAGUCGGUUUCAGAGCCGGAAUUUGGGUGUUUUGGCGAGAUGACUUCAAUAUUGACAUCCUUAAAACUCAUCCCCAGUUUGUCCAUCUUCGGAUAAGUAAGACUUUUUCUCAACCUUGGUUCAUUUCGAUUGAACACAAAUUUCAAAUUAUUGUUUACUAGGAGGUCCUUCAUUCUAUGAGGGAAAAGAACUUGGGAGUUGGUCAUAUGAUCAUCAAGAUCGAUCUCGAGAAAGCCUAUCACAGGUUCUCUUAAAAUGUCAUAAGAGAUUUUCGAUUAAGGAGGUAGGCCUUAGUGAUUCUUGAAUUCGUAAUAUCAUAAAUUGUAUACAAUCUUCCAAGAUGUCUAUUCUUCGGAAUGGUGAGCAACUUGACUGGUUUCAGCCUUCCCAUUGUAUUCAUCAGGGUGAUGCUAUCUCUCCCUUUUUUUUCUUAUUUAUAUUGAGCGUCUUGGUCAUAUAAUUAAAAUUACUAUCCUUAAAGUUGUUCGGAAACCUAUUAAAUUAUCUAGAUAGGGUCCUGGUUUAUCUCCUUUUUUUUUUUUGCUAACGACCUUGUUUUAUUUGUUGAGGCUUUUGUUGAGCAGAUUAAAGUUAUUACUUCAUGUCUUAAUAUUUUUCAUAAAGUUUCUAGUCUAAAAGUAAGUCCAACAUUUUUAUUUCUAAGAAUGUUCCUGACAAUAUUGGCUGUGAGAUUUCUACUUUAUGUGGCAUGCCUCUCACUGAUAACCUCAGUAUGAACUUGGGAGCUCCCUCUAUUCAUGGUUGUGUUUCAGUAAGUUGUUAUAAUCAUAGGCUUGAUAGAAUCUCCUCUCACCUUGAUGAAUGGAAAACUAAAUAUUUAUAGUUAGCAGGUAGAACUGUGCUAGCUCAAUCUGUGUUAUCUUCUAUUCCUCUUUAUUCUAUGCAGACUGCUAUGCUUCCUAUUUCUUUUUAUGAUGCAGUGGAACAAAGAGUGAGAAGAUUUCUUUAGGGUGGUUCAAAUGAAAAAAGAGGUUUGAGUCUAAUCAAUUGAAACUCUGUUUCAAUGCCUAAGAAUAUCAGAGGUUUAGGCAUCCGAAGACUUCAUCAUAUGAACCUGGCCUUCCUUGCUAAGCUUGGCUAGAGACUUGUUCGAAAGAAGAACAACUUGUGGGCAAAAGUCCUUGGUGAAAAGCACAUUCAUCAUGAUCUUGAUUUUUCUAGUCUUAAGUCUAAACAUAGUGCUUCUAAUCUUUAGUAAGAUAUCUCUAAGGCCUCUCAUAUUCUUUCUAGUGGUGUGAGAUCCCUCAUUAGAAUUGACCAUUCGACUUUUUUCCGGCUGGAUGUGUGGCUUGGAGACGUUCCCAUGUUGACCAUUGCUCUUCAUGAUAUAGGUUAUAUUGAGAGGCAUUGUAAGGUUAGCAAGUAUUAGAUUCCUAACUGUGGAUGGAACUGGUCUAAGUUGAAUAUGUUGUUGCCUUGUCAUAUCAAAAAUAAGCUUUUAGCUUUUAUUGUUAGAGAAGACUCUAAAGGCCAAGAUGAUAUAUAUUUAGGCCCUUCUCGCCCUGACCAUUUCACUAUUGGCUCUGCUUAUGACUUGUCUUUAACUUAGAAUCAUAUUGUUGCUAAUAGACUUUUUGUAGAAGUCUAGAGAAUUGAUAUUCCGUAAAGAGUUCAAAAUUUUCUCUAGCUUGUCUUACAUCGCAAGAAUAUUUGUAACAAAGAAAGUGUGGCUAGAGGUGUCACGACCCGAUCUGUGGACCCAUGACCGGCACUAAGGAAUGGGUAGGCAUAAGACCACCAAAUUCCAUAGUAAGCAUGACUAUUCACUAACUCAAUUAAAUUGAAAUUCGGACUCAAUCCAAAGCACUGAUUCACAAUUAAUCUUAACCAUCAAAUUCUACAUAUUUAAUUCUACAUAGUAAGCAUUACAUAAAAUUACAAACUGAUAAGUCUAAAAUUUCUACUGCUGAGAAUCUAGAAUUUUAAAAGUCAGCAUACCAAUGAAAUCAGUUGUAUCUAACCCGAGGAUGAAGGAGUCGGGUUGCUAGAUAAAAGGAACUACAGAAAACUAACCACACCUGAAAAACAGUGAAAUUGAGACUGUCAGUCUCGAGAGUGAGUUAAAAUCAUAUAUCUCAAAACGAAUAUAAAUGCUUCAAUAAAAUAUUUGUUUAAUUAAAAUAAAAUACGUGCCAUGCUAUGCUUCUGUAAAAUAAAAUAAAUUUUAUUUCAUACUACGGGACAGAGUACCUAAUAGAACCCUAGCCCCAUCACUAACAGUCUCGACUCUCUCAUUCCAACAGAACUGGCGCACAGAGAGCGAAGCUCGACUAAGGUCCUUAAAUCCAGUCCGGUCACUUAAUUAUCACUAAUAGUCUUAGCCUUUCGGCUCUCUUACUCUAAUAAGACUGGCGCCCAGAGAGCAAAGCUCGACCAGGGUCUUUAAGUCUAGUCUGUUCACUUAAGUUUCCAAUAAAGUCGGCGCCCAGAGAGCAACACUUGACCAGGGACCUUUACUCCGGCAAACACAUUCUACUCAGCCAGAGAGUUAAACUUGAUCAGAACAAGUCCUAAAUUUACUUCUUUUUUUUUAAAUCCACACUUUUACUAUCUGACUCAGAUUCAUACCGAUGCGCACGCGGUCCUGAUGCAAUCCAUCAGGUGGUAUGUUCUAUUGCCGUCUCAUCUCGAGUCAACACGCAAUCACAAAAACCAUAAUGCAGAAAACGAAACAUACAUAAAUAAUGAUUAAAUAAAUAAUUAAAAUAUUAAAUCAUGUAAUGAGAACUAUUUCUUAAAAUCUUAGCAUGACACAUGUAAACAGAUAUAUGACUUUAACUCAAUAUUCUAACGACUUCCUAGCUCUGCUUCGAUACCUCGGGUGGAGCGAGCUAAACUGACGAAUUAUCUAAUCAUGGAAAACAAUUCAAUCAAUAACAGUAAAAGAACCUCCCCUAAACAAGGAUGUCUACCCCCCAGAUAACGGGUCCAGGACCUGCCAGAAGACACUUCAAAUUUUCAACAAUUUAUUUAAUGGGAGUGGGGUCACCAAGACUUCAUUAUUUUUUUUGAGUCCGCCACACAACACAAAACACUAUUAUUGGCAAACGGUCCAACAAUUUAUUAUUUUAACUAACAAUCCUUACAGUAUUUUUCUAAUGCUCAAUAAAAUAAUUAAUCAUACAAUUUUUCUCAACAAACUCUAAAAUCUACAGGCUAGAAAAUUAUCGAGACGCUUGAUCACUCAGUCCACUCGCCUCCAGCCGCCGGCGUCCGAUCGACGAUCCAAACGCACCUACAGACUCAAAACAACGGGCUGAUGAUGAUUCGAGCUUCUAAUCCGACCCUCAAUCAUCCGGAGAAAUUUACGGACGAUCUCGGUCGUCGAUUUUCAAAAGGCGUCCAAUCGCCGCAAAACCGGUGCCAUUGAAAAGCUUGAGCUGAGGGAGUCCGAAUAUGUCCUCCGAUCAGCCAUAGCUCGCCGGAAAAGCCCGAAAACUUUGGCUGCCUCUACUUUCUCUCUCCACCGCAAACUUCCAACUCCGGCCACCAUUUGCGUCACUGUUGCUCCCAAAAGGAAGCCCACACUCAGGUAAGUCGAUCGCCACCCAACUCGGCCGCCAAAGCCACCGGAAAUGCCAUGCACGACUCUGACAGCCGUUGCCUCUCUUUUUUUUUCUCUACGGCCGACGCCGCCGCUCCCUGCCGUCGGUACUACUGCCUUGCUCGCCGACGGCAGCCGCUUCGUCGGCCAGCUCCCCUGCACCCGGACAGUCGGCCAUCGACAACCGUGCAGCCUCCCCCCCUCGAUCUCCUCUCUCCCCGAUCUCCUUCCCCUUUUCUUCUUCCCCAUAUCGAUAUUUAGUCCCUGAACUUUUCUUCUUUACCAUUUAGUCCCUAAACUUUUUAAUUACUAACAAUUUCACCCUGCAAAAUUUUCGAUUAACCCUUCAACUUCUCUUUGGCUUUUCAAUUAAACCCCUAACUAUUUAAUUUGGGCUAAAUUAGAAUUAUUGAAAAUAGAGAAUUACUUAUUUAUCCUUGCUUUUAAAUGUGGAAUUACUAAAAUACCUCUACCGACACCUUUAAUUACAAAAAUACCAACCAUACAAAUUUUCAUUAAUACCCCAUAUACUAAUAAAAUUAUAUUUUUAAUCCUUAUUCCAAAAUUUAUUUGUCAAUUUAAUCCUAACACUUAAUAAUCAAUUUGCUAAAUAUCUCCCAAUUAAAAUCAACACCAUUUGCUAAUUAAAAUUUAUCAUUCCCCAAAUAAAUUCUUUUAUAAAAUGUUAUUUAUUUAUUUUUUCAUAACUUUCAAAUAUAGAAUUUAAUUCAUAUAUUCAUAUUGGGAAAAAUUAAAUGACCAAAAAUAUAAUUUAUUUUCCAAAGAAUUUACUCAAUUAAUUUUUUUUAAAAAUCAACUAAUUAGAUAUAGAAAAUAGCUCUCUUAUUUUUAUCUAGCAUUGAAAUUUUAUUUUAAAUCAUCCCAAUUCAAUUACUUAAAAUAAACUAAAUUAAAUAAAAAUUCAUUUAUUAAUUAUUACUAAUAUUAUUAUUAUUAUUAAUAGAAAAUUUCGGGUAUUACAAGAGGUUUUAUUUAUGACAGCUCUUGUGCAAUUUGUAACCAUCAUCUUGAAGAUGUGGAACAAAUCCUUCGUUUUUGUGCAAGGGCUGCUCAAGUUUGGCGUCAAAUUCUCCCCCCUGAUGAGUACUAGAUUUAGAUGAAUCUCGACUUCAAUGGCUGGAUGACCAGGAAUUUGCUUGGCAAUGUAUCUAGCGUUAGGGACUGGGAUUUGGUGUUUGCUAUCGUGGUUUGGGGGCUUUACCGGUGGAGAAUUGGAAAUAUUUUUAAUAAUGUUUCCUUGUCUAUUAACUAAAAUUUUAAUUGGAUUGUCUCUUAUAUGCAAGAAAUUGACAAAGCCUUUUCAAUCCAGGCUCGGGUUCUUGGAACGUCCCCAAGGAAAACAUCUCGACUCAAUUGUUGGUCUCCUCCGCCUGUUGGUUGGACCAUUUUGAAUAAUAAUAGCAGCUGCAAAGAGAGGGAUGGUGCUGUUUGUGGUGGUAGACUCCUUAGAGAUUCAUGGUCAAG
rnacentral:lncRNA from 1 species